AACUGCUUCACCUAUGGGCUUGACGGGAAAAUUCAAAAUCGCGAACCGUUACAGCCUGGACUACUCGCUGUCUUUGUUUGUUUGGUCAUCAACAGUAAGAGGUCAUGUACACUGUGGUCAACUUUGUGGACGCUGAAGAGGUUUCUGGGGAAAGAUGAUAGAAAUAUAAUGAAGUAACAGUGGAAGCUAAAACAUCAGACUGAUCCAGACACUGAAGAAAUUGAUGUCACUGCAAUCUGGCCAAAAUGAUACAACUAUAUUGAAGUAGCCUACUGUAAUGAAGCUGCAGAACGUCACAGAGACUCUGAGGACAUCAACACAGAAAAUGAAGGCUCCAAAGAGAUGUCUGUCCAGAUGAGGGUGCAUCAACGUUACCUUUGCUGACAAGUAUAUGCUUUACAAUGUAAAACCUAACAGUUAACUUAACUCAAACCAUUUAAGGAAAUCGGUUGCCUUAAACCAUUAAGUUUUAAAAAAACAUACAUUUGAGUACUGUGAACUUAAGUCUUGUGCAAUUAUGCACUUAUAUUUAGGUAGUGUGAACUUAAAUUGAGUC